ACUUUGUGAUGUGUGCAUUUAUAAAAAAGGUCCUUAAAGCACUCCCAUGUAUCAAAAAUUGCUCACCAUCUAUUUGUGAAAAAUUGGUAAUUGCCAUCCUAAACU